rnacentral:rRNA from 1 species
UGGGGAAUUUUGGACAAUGGGCGCAAGCCUGAUCCAGCCAUGCCGCGUGCGGGAAGAAGGCCUUCGGGUUGUAAACCGCUUUUGUCAGGGAAGAAAUCUUCUGGGUUAAUACCUCGGGAGGAUGACGGUACCUGAAGAAUAAGCACCGGCUAACUACGUGCCAGCAGCCGCGGUAAUACGUAGGGUGCAAGCGUUAAUCGGAAUUACUGGGCGUAAAGCGUGCGCAGGCGGUUUUGUAAGACAGAGGUGAAAUCCCCGGGCUCAACCUGGGAGCUGCCUUUGUGACUGCAAGGCUUGAGUGCGGCAGAGGGGGGAUGGAAUUCCGCGUGUAGCAGUGAAAUGCGUAGAUAUGCGGAGGAACACCGAUGGCGAAGGCAAUCCCCUGGGGCCUGCACUGGACGCUCAUGCACGAAAGCGUGGGGAGCAAACAGGAUUAGAUACCCUGGUAGUCCACGCCCUAAACGAUGUCAACUGGUUGUUGGGAAGGUUCCUUCUCAGUAACGUAGCUAACGCGUGAAGUUGACCGCCUGGGGAGUACGGCCGCAAGGUUGAAACUCAAAUG